rnacentral:rRNA from 1 species
AUGACCGUGACCACGGAGCAAGGAGCAGUGGAUUUACAAGCAGUCACUAAACAACAACACCAGUGCUCUGCAAUUUCUUCUCAGGAACUCCUGUCUGCAUGUAAGCAGGGCUCUGUUGCCUAUGUUGUGCAUCGGAAUUCUGUCAGUGAAAGGGGAACGCAAGAGGAGAACAUUCCAGUAGAAAUUCUCAGAGUAUUGGAGCAGUACACGGAUGUGUUUGAAAAACCCAAAGGGCUCCCACCGCGACGCGCUUGCGAUCAUCGAAUCCCACUAAUGGAGGGCGCGCAACCAGUCAAUCAGCGCCCUUACAGACACAAGCCGGAGCUCAAGAAUGAGAUAGAGCGUCAGGUUAAAGAACUGCUGGAUGCAGGUAUCAUCAGAGAGAGUACCAGCCCGUUCUCCUCGCCAGCGUUACUUGUGAAGAAAAAGGACGGGACGUGGCGAUUAUGUGUGGAUUACAGAUGUUUGAAUGCAAUGACACUGGUCAGUAAAUACCCAGUACCAAUCAUUGAUGAAUUGGUUGGAGCACGUUUGUAA